rnacentral:rRNA from 1 species
CGUAGAGAAAUCGAGUCUUAAUAGGGCGUUUAGUUGCUGGGUAUAGACCCGAAACCAGGCGAUCUAUCCAUGAGCAGGUUGAAGGUUGGGUAACACUAACUGGAGGACCGAACCCACUGUCGUUGAAAAGCCAGGGGAUGACUUGUGGAUAGGGGUGAAAGGCUAAUCAAGCCUGGUGAUAGCUGGUUCUCCCCGAAAGCUAUUUAGGUAGCGCCUCGGACGAAUACCAUAGGGGGUAGAGCACUGUUUCGGCUAGGGGGUCAUCCCGACUUACCAAACCGAUGCAAACUCCGAAUACCUAUGAGUACUAUCCGGGAGACAGACUGCGGGUGCUAACGUCCGUAGUCAAGAGGAAAACAAUCCAGACCGCCAGCUAAGGCCCCAAAAUCAUAGUUAAGUGGGA